rnacentral:rRNA from 1 species
GAUGAACGCUGACAGAAUGCUUAACACAUGCAAGUCAACUGUGGCGGACGGGUGAGUAACGCGUAAAGAACUUGCCUCACAGAUAGGGACAACAUUUGGAAACGAAUGCUAAUACCUGACACUGUGAGAGAGCGUUGCGUCCCAUUAGCUAGUUGGAGAGGUAACGGCUCACAAAGGCGAUGAUGGGUAGCCGGCCUGAGAGGGUGAUCGGCCACAAGGGGACAGGGACACCGGCCUGACGCCUUCGGGAGGAAGCAGUGGGGAAUAGUGGACGCUGGACCGAAGUCUGAUCAAGCAAUUCUGUGUGCAAGAUGAAGUUUUCGGAAUGUAAAGUGCUUUCAGUUGGGAAGCGGUACCAACAGAAGAAGUGACGGCUAAAUACGUGCCAGCAGCCGCGGUAAUAC